ACCUGGUUGAUCCUGCCAGUAGUCAUAUGCUUGUCUCAAAGAUAAAGCCAUGCAUGUCUAAGUAUAAACUGCUUAUACUGUGAAACUGCGAAUGGCUCAUUAAAUCAGUUAUAGUUUAUUUGAUGGUACCUUACUACUCGGAUAACCGUAGUAAUUCUAGAGCUAAUACGUGCGCACAUCCCGACUCACGAAGGGACGUAUUUAUUAGAUAAAAGGCCGACCGGGGCAACCCGACUCGCGGUGAAUCAUGAUAACUUCACGAAUCGUACGGCCUUGUGCCGACGAUGUUUCAUUCAAAUUUCUGCCCUAUCAACUUUCGAUGGUUGGAUAGAGGCCAACCAUGGUGGUAACGGGUGACGGAGGAUUAGGGUUCGAUUCCGGAGAGGGAGCCUGAGA
rnacentral:rRNA from 1 species